GUGGGGAAUUUUGGACAAUGGGCGAAAGCCUGAUCCAGCCAUGCCGCGUGAGUGAAGAAGGCCUUCGGGUUGUAAAGCUCUUUCGGCCGGGAAGAAAUCGCACGCUCUAACAUAGCGUGUGGAUGACGGUACCGGACUAAGAAGCACCGGCUAACUACGUGCCAGCAGCCGCGGUAAUACGUAGGGUGCGAGCGUUAAUCGGAAUUACUGGGCGUAAAGCGUGCGCAGGCGGUUUUGUAAGACAGAUGUGAAAUCCCCGGGCUUAACCUGGGAACUGCGUUUGUGACUGCAAGGCUAGAGUACGGCAGAGGGGGGUGGAAUUCCUGGUGUAGCAGUGAAAUGCGUAGAUAUCAGGAGGAACACCGAUGGCGAAGGCAGCCCCCUGGGCCUGUACUGACGCUCAUGCACGAAAGCGUGGGGAGCAAACAGGAUUAGAUACCCCUGUAGUCC
rnacentral:rRNA from 1 species